CAAUAGCGUAUAUUAAAGUUGUUGCAGUUAAAAAGCUCGUAGUUGGAUUUGUGGCGUACGGUGUGUUCCGGGCACUUGUUGUCUGAGUAACCUGCUGUUGCCAUCCUUGGGUGGAACCUGUGUGGCAUUAGGUUGUCGUGCAGGGGAUGCCCAUCAUUUACUGUGAAAAAAUUAGAGUGUUCAAAGCAGGCUUAUGCCGUUGAAUAUAUUAGCAUGGAAUAAUGAGAUAGGUCUUUUUUGCUAUUUUGUUGGUUUGCGCAAAGAGGUAAUGAUUAAUAGGGACAGUUGGGGGUAUUCGUAUUCCAUUGUCAGAGGUGAAAUUCUUGGAUUUUUGGAAGACGAACUACUGCGAAAGCAUUUACCAAGGAUGUUUUCAUUAA
rnacentral:rRNA from 1 species